AUUGAACGCUGGCGGCAUGCCUUACACAUGCAAGUCGAACGGCAGCGGACCUUCGGGUGCCGGCGAGUGGCGAACGGGUGAGUAAUGCAUCGGAACGUACCUUUCAGUGGGGGAUAACGUAGCGAAAGUUACGCUAAUACCGCAUAUUCUGUGAGCAGGAAAGCAGGGGAUCGCAAGACCUUGCGCUGAUUGAGCGGCCGAUGUCAGAUUAGAUAGUUGGUGAGGUAAAGGCUCACCAAGGCGACGAUCUGUAGCGGGUCUGAGAGGAUGAUCCGCCCCCCUGGGACUGAGACACGGCCCAGACUCCUACGGGAGGCAGCAGUGGGGAAUUUUGGACAAUGGGGGCAACCCUGAUCCAGCCAUGCCGCGUGAGUGAAGAAGGCCUUCGGGUUGUAAAGCUCUUUCGGCCGGGAAGAAAUCGCACAGGCUAAUACCUUGUGUGGAUGACGGUACCGGAAUAAGAAGCACCGGCUAACUACGUGCCAGCCGCCGCCGUAACAC
rnacentral:rRNA from 1 species